CACUCCCAAAGAAACCGCUGGAAUUCAGUGCCUUUUUGCAGGGUCUGCGUCUGAGGGAGCUUGAACCCAGACCCGGUGAUCGGGGAUAUUGAAGGCAUCAAUAUAAAGGCCUCCUGUUUCCAGUCCAUUUUCCAGUUGAAAGGGCUUUCUGGGAACUAGAAUGUUGGCAGCACCCUGUCUACAGUCGACUUUGGAAACAGGGCACCGUGAGUCGCUCUCCACUAAGAGGCUGUGAAAGUUCACGAAAAAUCCUGCUCUCAUCAGUCCUUGGGUUAGAAAAUGUGCCUCCCGUCCAGAGCAUGAUGACUAAUACCUUAGGUCUGUGAUGCUGGUGACAGGGGCUUGUUUUAUUGUUUUAUUCUCUAAAUUGGGAAAUGUAAAUAAAGCCCAAGUGUACUAUGCUCAA